UAGUCAUUGCUGCUGCUUCUACUAGUAGAGAGGUUCCUCCAGUUCUGAUAAACGUUUGUCUUCUAAUGCUGUGGUCCUUUCGUCAAAUUCGUCUCCGAUAUGUCAAGUCUGGAAGCGUUAAUAGUGCGUUCCAAUGCCGAAGUUCUGUCAUUGAAUGCGCCUGAAGAUACAUCGUCUCCUGUGCAUAUGCCAAGUCAACAAUCGUUUCAACCUGAAGAUUCGUCGUCUCCUGUGGAUAUGCAAAUUCAACAGUCGAUUCAGUCUGGUAAU